rnacentral:rRNA from 1 species
AGAGUUUGAUCAUGGCUCAGAUUGAACGCUGGCGGCAGGCCUAACACAUGCAAGUCGAGCGGCAGCGGGAAAGUAGCUUGCUACUUUUGCCGGCGAGCGGCGGACGGGUGAGUAAUGUAUGGGGAUCUGCCUGAUGGAGGGGGAUAACUACUGGAAACGGUAGCUAAUACCGCAUAAUGUCCACGGACCAAAGCGGGGGACCUUCGGGCCUCGCACCAUCAGAUGAACCCAUAUGGGAUUAGCUUGUAGGUGAGGUAACGGCUCACCUAGGCGACGAUCCCUAGCUGGUCUGAGAGGAUGAUCAGCCACACUGGGACUGAGACACGGCCCAGACUCCUACGGGAGGCAGCAGUGGGGAAUAUUGCACAAUGGGCGCAAGCCUGAUGCAGCCAUGCCGCGUGUAUGAAGAAGGCCUUCGGGUUGUAAAGUACUUUCAGCGAGGAGGAAGGUGUUGUGGUUAAUAACCGCAGCAAUUGACGUUACUCGCAGAAGAAGCACCGGCUAACUCCGUGCCAGCAGCCGCGGUAAUUC